rnacentral:rRNA from 1 species
GACGAACGCUGGCGGCGUGCCUAACACAUGCAAGUCAACGAGAAAGGGGUAGCAAUAUCCCGAGUAAAGUGGCGCACGGGUGAGUAACACGUAGGUAAUUUGCCAUCAGGACGGGGACAACCACGCGAAAGCGUAGCUAAUACCCGAUGAAGCAGCGGUGCCGCAUGGCAUUGUUGUUAAAUACCGCAAGGUGCCUGAUGAUAAACCUGCGUCCCAUUAGGUAGUUGGNGAGGUAACGGCUCACCAAGCCGACGAUGGGUAGCUGGUCUGAGAGGAUGAUCAGCCACACUGGGAACUGAGACACGGUCCAGACUCCUACGGGAGGCAGCAGUGAGGAAUAUUGCGCAAUGGCCGAAAGGCUGACGCAGCGACGCCGCGUGAAGGAUGAAGUCCGUUAGGAUGUAAACUUCUUUUGCAGGGGAUGAAUGUGGCGCCAAGCGCCAUUCGACCGUACCCUGCGAAUAAGGAUCGGCUAACUACGU